UCCUGUUUUAGUGUGAGGUGUGGGCCUGCUGCUGCUGUAGUCUGAACUACGAAACAAGAUCUGCUCUCGCGUUACACACACUCACUAGGACCACUUUUCUUUGGUUUGCUGUUCCAGAAGCAUUCUUCAUAUGCUUACAGGGCUGUUAAGGUGUACUGUAACUUGUAGUUGAACUCAAAACAACAGGAAAGGUUGAGCAUAUAGACGUUUACUUCAGAAACUAAGUUUUUGAAAGAGCCUUAGGAGUUAAGAUGGAUAUGAGGGUGCUAUUAAUAUCAGCUCUACUAGGAUUUGUUUCCCAUGUCAGUUCAAAAACAGACAGCAAUGUAUGCAUUUCUGCAAAUGCCAAAACAUGUGGAGAGUGUAUUCAGAUCGGGCCACAAUGUGCGUGGUGCAAAGAUCCUGGUUUCAAACAUUCACGCUGUGAUGACAAGGAUUCUCUGUAAAAGGCUGGUUGCAAUCAACUGGCAUAGAAAACCCUCAAGGAACAGUCACGAUUGACAAGAACAAACCUGUCACAAACCGUAAAAUUGAUGGAGGACAGAAUCUGAGGCCUGAUGAGAUCAUCCAGAUUCAGCCACAAAAACUCACCCUCAACCUCCGAUCAGGUGAAUCACAGAAGUUUACUCUCAAGUUCAAGAGGGCCGAAGACUAUCCCAUCGAUCUGUACUUCCUGAUGGACCUCAGUGACUCCAUGCAAAGUAAUCUUGAGAAUGUCAAGAACCUGGGAACCGAACUUGCCAAGGCAAUGCAGCACAUCACAAAAAGACCUGCGGAUAGGUUUUGGUUCAUUUUUGGAGAAACUAGUUAUGCCUUUCAUUCUGACGACUCCGGUAUCUGAAGAACCCAUGUUUUCCAAAUGACUGCUCAGC